GCUAUAUCUCUCACUGAAUAUUCAAAAUCCAGAAUCAAAACAGUUGAACAGAGGAGAGAGGAAAAGUACCCAAAAAUUUAAAGGAUAUUUAAUUAAAAUGUGGUGAGAUUUGAUGUAGAUGACUUGUCAUCUACAAGAGGACUCAGUACUUCAGUAAGCCUAAGGACAAGAAGCCUAAGGACAUCUAUGGACUAUAUUUCCUCCAGUACAGAGGGUGGGAUUGAGUGCAAGUUUGCUGAUGACACCAAGGUGUGUGCUCUGGUUGACAUGCUGGAUGGAUGGACCAGAUGACCUUGACAGGCUUCAGAGCUGCUAAGCUUUGAUGUGAAUUUAUGCAGCCUGUGUGAAGACACCCUAAUGAAAUAUGACCUGAGUUGUAUCUCUAUAUUUUAGCAGCUUUUCCUAGAUUCCAGCAAUUUAAGUUUUUGAGAUGUAGUUUUCUUGGUUCCCAUCAGAACAAAAGGAUUCUGCCAUUAGCAAGAUACUUGUGUGACCUUCAGAGCUGUGUCUCCAAUUUCUUCCUAGCCUCCUGUUGGUCUAUUCAGUCUGCAGCCUUUUGGGACAAUGAUGAGCUACAUAUUUCUCCAGCACAAAAUAGCAAAAUAAGGUGCUACUCUCAGUUGGAGUAUAAAUAUAAUUUUAACAAAAUUAAUAAAAAUAAUAAACCCCAACCAAUUAUAUAGACCAUAUUAAAGGCUAUAAAACUGGGCAAACUUUGAUUUUUUUCUAAUAUUCAAUGUCAGAUUAUUAUCUAUAAAAAUCUCCAUAACUUAUGCUUUGUCAGAGGCUCUCAUGUGCUUUCAUCUGGAUUUAUACCUUUUAGCUUUCCAAUGAAAACCUAUUAAAACAACCAAUAUGGAACAAGUAGAAUUAAUCUUUACCACAAUAUCUUGCUUGCCAUCCUAUACUCCAUAAGAAAACAUUACACUCUUUCACAAUAGUAAAUUUUUCUUGAAAAUCCUUCUUUAUAAAUCCAUGACACAAUAAGUAUUCUCCAAACUGAUUGAAUCUUGGAGCAUGAGUUGCAGGAAUAAAAAAGAUAAGAAUCCAGACUUAAGUAACAUGAUUUUUUUUUCAUUUUUUAUUUUUUUAAAGCAAACAAAAGAGAAGCAAGUAUUUAAACAUCUCUAACUUACGUUGAACUUCCAAUUUCUUUAAAUGGACAAGGUAUGCAUAAUUAAAGUAAAUUCUACAUGAAAAUGUGUAAAAUAAAAGAUUUGGAUCCUCUUGAGUGUCUUAAUAUUGCUUCAAAAUGCCACAGAAUAAAAUCCAAUUAUGCUUUUGUAGCCCUGGUCAAAUGAGAGUUUAGAGAAAAAAAAAAAAGAAAAUAAAAAAGUAAAUAUUUUAAACUUAAUACAAUUAAUUGCAGCUUUCCUCAAAGAUACAUUUUCCUUGAUUGCCUUAACUGCUAGUUAUUUCAUGGCUCAAGCAGGGUAGCAAUGCUACAAUCCUAUUUUUUUCCUCACACAUAAUUAUGCUGUUUUUCAAACCAUAUGUAUGUUAUCUUACCUCUCAUUUAUCAAAUUUUCUAGUUUCCUCAUAAUAUAUCAUUAUUUCAGUUAUUUACUUCAAUUUUGUUCUUAGUUUAUGCUUAGGAUGAAAUUUAUGUCACCUCAGUUUUCUAACCAAAGCCCAAUCCUAUUAAGUUGCCCAGUAUAAUUAGCCAG